UUUGAUUUCCUUCGGGACUGAUUAUUUUGUGACUGAGUGGCGGACGGGUGAGUAACGCGUGAGGAACCUGCCUUUCAGUGGGGGACAACAGUUGGAAACGACUGCUAAUACCGCAUAAGCGCACAGUUCCGCAUGGAACGGUGUGAAAAACUCCGGUGGUGUGAGAUGGACCCGCGUCUGAUUAGCCAGUUGGUGAGGUAACGGCUCACCAAGGCGACGAUCAGUAGCCGGCCUGAGAGGGUGAACGGCCACAUUGGGACUGAGACACGGCCCAAACUCC
rnacentral:rRNA from 1 species